rnacentral:tRNA from 1 species
UCAGGACGAGGAUCUAGGCUCUAGGUCUGAUCCGAGUCUGAGACAAGGGUUUAAAAAGAAGCUUAUUUGUAGGAGGGGUUCAAUCCCCUGUCUUUAA